GGCCGUCAUUCAAGCCAAGAAAGAGAGGCCUCAGAAGAAACCCAACCCACUGACACCUUGAUCUUAGACUUCUGGCCUUCAGAACUGUGGGACACUAAAUAUCUGCUGUUAAAGCCAGCCAGUCUGCGAUACAGGAUAAAGAAAUACAAGCUAAGAAGAGGGAUCCCACUGGCACCAGAGUGCCAUUUCAGAUUUGAUGACUAGAGCAGCAGCAGCCAUUUUCUUACAAUGAAGAAACACAUCAAAGAGGGUGGAACAAAAAGAUGGAGCAUGGUUCCUCCGAUGACACCAUUAAGUCACUAUACAUGGCUUAGAUCAUCCAUCUCUGUACUUAUUUUUACACAAGUCAAAUAAAUCUGCUUGUUUAAGCCAUAGCUAUUCAACUAUUCUAUUAUUUGAAAUAAAAGCAUCCCUAACAGGUACAAACUUUUAUUUUCGAUGGUAACUGACUACAGUGUGGUGGUUUAAUGGACUCAU